AGAAAGACUCUGGGCAACGGAUAUCUGGUCUCUCGCAUAGAAGAAGAACGUAGAGAAAUGAGAUACUGGGUGAGAAUCACAGAAUCCCGAGACCCAUAGAGUUUUUGAACACAAGUUGCCCCAUAGCCCAAUAGCCAGAGCACAUGUCCGCGGGGGCCACAAA
rnacentral:rRNA from 1 species